AUGGACUCUUACAUGAAACAGUCCAUAGAUCCAGCUGAGGCUCUUGUUCUUCCUGAAUUGAAAUCCACCAAACGGACCUCAUUCCAAGGCAAACAGGAGUGGCGACCCUCUCUGAUAUUCUCCAGCUCACCCGGACGACUCCACUGACACGAACAGCUCAGCCCUGCAGAAAUAGUGAAGUAUGUUGCAGAGGGUUGGACUAGAUGACCCUUGGAGCCUCUUCUGAUUCUAUGAUUCUAUGAAAUUACAUCAUUGCCACAGGAUUUGACUCCUCCCACUGCAAGCCUGGGAGACAACAGGGGAGCAUCAAAGACUUGAAGGGCAUGCAAAAAAAGAGUCUUGAACCUAUGCCAAGCAAUUUGUUCUGGCUUUAAUCAAGAUGUCAUCUUUUAACUCCAAAUGUCAUUCUUAUUAUUAUUAUUAAUCCCGUAUCAAAACUUUGAGCAGCAUACUGCAGCAUGAAUAAAUGCUACCCGUCAUUUAAACUUUCAGCAAUGUUUCAAAGCCUUGCAAAUGAGUGAUAGCCAUUUAUAUUUGUAUUCAUGCAUGUGUAUAUUCAUCAAAGUGAUGCAGUUAACAAGCUGGUAAAAGACAAAGUGAAUAGCAACAAAGAAACUGGUGAAUUAUAAGUUUUUAACUUUGUAAAAGCUAAUGCAGAACAACUUGAUUGUUAAUUUUGUAGUCUCUUUUUGCCCAAAGAGAACACUCUUUUCUUUCCAUCUCUCUCUUUACUCACUGUCAUCAGCAUCCUGCCAUUUUGGAAUCUUAAAUUAUUCCCCCUCUAAGAAAAGUGUCAUAAGUGAUGACACAGAGAAUACUCAAAUAAUCGGCUGAAUUGCUCAAGCAUUAAAUAUUAGAGCAGGGAUGUCCAACC